AUGCAAGUCGAACGGUAACAUGAGUGCUUGCACGUUGAUGACGAGUGGCGGACGGGUGAGUAAAGUAUGGGGAUCUGCCGAAUGGAGGGGGACAACAGUUGGAAACGACUGCUAAUACCGCAUAAGUUGAGAGACCAAAGCAUGGGACUUACGGGCCAUGCGCCAUUCGAUGAACCCAUAUGGGAUUAGCUAGUUGGGUAGGGUAAUGGCUUACCAAGGCGACGAUCUCUAGCUGGUCUGAGAGGAUGACCAGCCACACUGGAACUGAGACACGGUCCAGACUCCGUACGGGAGGCAGCAGGUGGGAAUAUUGCACAUGGGGGAACCCUGAUGCAGCCAUGCCGCGCGUAUGAAGAAGGCCUGCGGGUUGUAAAGUACUUUCGGUGAUGAGGAAGGUGAUGUAUCUAAUAGGUGCAUCAAUUGACGUUAAUUACAGAAGAAGCACCGGCUAACUCCGUG
rnacentral:rRNA from 1 species